rnacentral:lncRNA from 1 species
AUUUCCAACCAUCUGGUGCAUUUCACAAAAUGUGGUGAUGAAGGUCAUGUGCUGUAAGUACCUAGCGAGAAGGAGAGGUUGGGACAUGGGAGUGAGGCUCUUUCUGCUGCUGUAUGUUCCUUUGCCUCUCUCAAGUUCGGUCCUUUCCAUUAGCAGGGUCAGAAGCUUCACCUCGCGGGUCCUUCAGGCUAUGCCAAGCAGGAACGUUUUGUCCUGGUGGUUCAUCUCUUCCUAUUCCCUGUACCCCAGGCUCGUACUGUGCAUCUGCAGAGCUGGCUGUGCCAUCUGGUCCCUGUGAUGCUGGCUUUUACUGCACUAGGGGGUCCACGCUCCCCAACCCAACAGAUGGGGCAGUAGGAAAUAUUUGUCCUCCAGGCUACGUGUGUCCCCAAGGAAGUUCUUCUCCAUCUCCAUGUCCCCCAGGCUCUUUUUUGGCCCAUCAUGGUGGCCAAUCAGCACAAGAUUGCCGGCCCUGUUUAGCAGGAUGGUUCUGCUCCCACCGAGGUCAAAGUACACCAGAGGGGCGGUGUAAGGAAGGCUGGUUUUGCCCAGAGGGGUCUGUAUCAGGACUUAAUCCAGAUUAUAUAUGUCCUGUUGGCCACUAUUGCCCCACAGGCAGCCCAGAGCCCAAACCCUGUCCCUCUGGGAAAUACCAGGACCAGACUGGUCAAAGCCUGUGCAAGACGUGCCCAACAGGAAAGUUCUGUGGCCCAGAAGUCCAAAUCCAAGAUCACAAUGAGACCUUUUCACAUGGAAUGAUCAAGCCAGCAGAUUGCCCGGCUGGAUACUACUGUCUCUCAGGAACUAAAGCUGCCAAGCAGUACCCAUGCCCCCAGGGCACCUUCAGUAACCAGACUGGGCUGAGCAAUUCUAAGGACUGCAGGGCUUGCCCUGGGGGAAAAUUCUGUGCAGAUGCAGGCCUCUUGACCCCGAGUGGCCCUUGUUUGCCCAGGUAUUACUGCAUUUUGAAGGCACAUGUACCUAAUCCUGUUAACGAUGAAACUGGAGACUUGUGCCCAGCAGGACACUUCUGCCCACUGGGUAGCAGCAGCCCAGUGCCAUGUCCCACUGGCACCUUUCUACCCCAGUCUGGGAUGGCAUCCCACAAUGCUUGUCUGCCCUGCCCUGGGGGGAAGUUCUGCCAAGGAGAAGGGUUGGCCAGCAUUUCAGGUGAGUAGUA